rnacentral:rRNA from 1 species
GACGAACCGUGCAAACGUUGUUCGGAAUCACUGGGCGUAAAGCGCACGUAGGCGGAUUCCUAAGUCGGGGGUGAAAUCCUGGAGCUCAACUCCAGAACUGCCUUCGAUACUGGGAAUCUUGAGUCCGGAAGAGGUGAGUGGAACUGCGAGUGUAGAGGUGAAAUUCGUAGAUAUUCGCAAGAACACCAGUGGCGAAGGCGGCCAGCUGGCCGUCCUGACGCUGAGGCGCGAAGGCGUGGGGAGCAGAACGGG